AACGAACGCUGGCGGCAUGCCUAACACAUGCAAGUCGAACGAAGGCUUCGGCCUUAGUGGCGCACGGGUGCGUAACGCGUGGGAAUCUGCCCUUUGGUUCGGAAUAACGGCUGGAAACGGCUGCUAAUACCGGAUGAUGACGAAAGUCCAAAGAUUUAUCGCCAGAGGAUGAGCCCGCGUUGGAUUAGGUAGUUGGUGGGGUAAAGGCCUACCAAGCCGACGAUCCAUAGCUGGUCUGAGAGGAUGAUCAGCCACACUGGGACUGAGACACGGCCCAGACUCCUACGGGAGGCAGCAGUGGGGAAUAUUGGACAAUGGGCGCAAGCCUGAUCCAGCAAUGCCGCGUGAGUGAUGAAGGCCCUAGGGUUGUAAAGCUCUUUUACCCGGGAAGAUAAUGACUGUACCGGGAGAAUAAGCCCCGGCUAACUCCGUG
rnacentral:rRNA from 1 species